CCAUGUCAAGUCUAUAGUGGUUAAGAGACAGAAUAAGAGAGAGAGAGAGCACACAUUUACCAGCACAUGUCUGAACAAGAUGUAUUACACUUGUGCUGCCCCCUCUGGCGUACACAUCUCUGCCUGAAGGUGGCAGUAUUACGACAGAGGUACGAAAGUUAUAAUUUCAGAAGAAGCGGUUAAUCUGCAGCCGAAUUUCAGCAGUGUUCGUUCACAAGUUAAGAGAACAUAUGUCUUUUUACAGUAAUCUUCAACUGAGAGUGACAAAUAAAUCCUUGAAGAAAGAAGA